rnacentral:lncRNA from 1 species
CUCCUCCGGAUCACUCACCGAGCCCGUGGACAUCCCGUUGUCCCCCUUGCCCACACGCGUCCUCUUUCCUCCCCCCUGGCCAGUCUCGCUGUCUCCGCCUUCCGCUCCCUGGCGGAGGCGGAGGCCAGAGAGCGCUCCAAGGAAGACUAAAAACCCAGGCCGGGAAGCGCGGGGUGAGAAAGCGAGGUGGGUGGCGAGAGCGUGAGCGCCCCUCUGCUGACCCCGGGGAGCGUGGACUACGAGUUGGCGCCCAAGUCCAGAAUCCGCGCGCACCGCGGAAAAUAUUUGCAAUACCUGCCACGUCCAAGGUUCAGCUGAGGCCAAUGUAAAGCCAGUAUUAUAGGACACUUCUCAGACUGAGAGCCCAAUGUCGUUGGAAACCACUGGGCCACAGGAAAGGCAGGCUCUCUCAGUCCUGCUCCUGCCAUGGAAGAAGCCUGCUCCCACCAUGCCUUCUGCCACGAGUAAAAGUUCCCUGAGGCCUCCCCAGAAGCAGAUGCUGUCGUGCUUCCUGUAUAGCUGCAGAACUGAUCAUGGAAUUCUAAAAUUGGAAGAAAUAUGUUUCUAGUCAUCUAGUAUAGCUUCCAAUCCAUAGGAUGAAUCCUCAUGGCUAAUGAAAGCCUGGAAGAACAUUAGAACCACCAUGAGGAGACUUCAAAUCAUCCCAACACCAGAGAACACUAAAUGACAGUGGACAGGAAGACAGUGUACCUUUUGCUCCUGAUGAUCGUAAGAACAACCUCCUUCCUCUUAUUGUGAAGUGCAAGGUGCAAAAAGGAGGCCUGCUGCUUGUUCAGGACUAUGUCAGCAUUGUGGCUCAGAAGAAGCGCAACGGCUUUGGCGUGGCCUUCCCUUGCAGCAAAGUGAAGUGCAGUGUUCUUUUGAAGAAAAACAGACACAGAAAACGUGGUGACAGUGUCUAAUCUGUCUUAUUUCACUGCUUAACUGCUUAAAAGACAUUAGCGACACUAUUUAAUACCAAAAUACAUAGCACUUAAAACUGGUGUUCAGAAUCAAGCUUCAAAAUAAUGAGUUUAUAGUUCUAGCAUGGUGUGUGUGCAUGUGUGGGAAGUGGAUCUGUGUGUGUGUGUGUGUGUGUGUGUGUGUGAGAGAUAGAGAAAGAGAGAGAGAGAGAGAGAGAGAGAGAGAGAGAGAGAAUGAAUUCCAAGGCAUUUGUUUUGUGUUGCUUUUGCAAUGGGAUGAUUCCACAAGGACAAAGGACAAGCUUUCAGGGUAAAGAUGUUGGGUUGAACACAGAAGAAAAUCCUCCUGAGAUUGAUCAUUUGUAGAACAGUGGCUUACAGAUUUGGGGCUUCACAAGCUUGUAAAUGUUUUUUAAAAUCAGAGACUGUUAUAAGUUUGCCCAUUUUUAGUUUCUCCACUUAAAGACUUUUUUUUUUUGAAAAAGGCAACAACAGUCUUCUAUCCCCAUCAUUUUAUGAACAAACGUACAUUUCAAAAGUUACUCUCCCCAAAGGAAGGAAAGACAUAAUAGCACAAUAAAGGGCAGCAUUUCAAAUCAAUACACUUCAAAAUAACACUUAUCUUAAUGAAAACUCACCCCUGCCUUCAUUUCUCUGGACCUACCAGGGAGUAAACGCUUUACCAUCAAAUUUCAUUGGCCUGUGGACCUCGCUGCUCUGUGAGACUGGAGGUUUCCCCAACAUUCACCCACCCCUUGGUAUUCUCCCAAUUCUGUUGCCUUUUGAUUCAUACUUCACCUCAAGAAUCCACUUGCUAAACACCCAACAAAAGGCUGGGAAUAGAGCAAGGAAGGUAAAAGGUGUCUAGGAGAGUUUUCUGGCAAUGUUGGAAGUUUCUGCUAUAUUGAGAUUUUGGGUAAGCAUGAGGACCGCAGUACAUACCCCGUCUUCAUCCAGGCGAUCUGUGCACUUCAAAUUAGUAUCAAGAAUGACCUUCAUGGUCUGAGUGUACCCGCCCAUGGACGCAUGAUGCAAAGCUGUCCAGCCAUUGUGGUCACUGGUAAAGAGUUAAGAAAAGAUGUGUGCAUACACUUAACAGAUGAAAUGCGGGAUGGGAUGCCACUUGGCUUAUUCUAGGUAAAUCUGAUGACAACAAAAAGCAUUAUUGAGAUCUGGCAACUAAAUAUUUAUAAAACAUUUAUAAUAAAUGAGCUAAUUCCAAGCUCA